CUAUUCUCUGGGAGGCGGGGGAAAUUAAAAUUAAACCUUCCCGAAGACAGCAGUAUGGAGCCUCUCUCAAAUGCUAAAACCUUAAGCACACAGCUGGGCAGGUGUCUGCCUGUGUCUGUUCUCCUCCCGUGCUGGGUGUCCAGGAGCUGUCUUCUGAUGUCACCGUGUCCUUCUCCCUCCGACAUUGCUGCUAGAACCUGGAGUGGAAGAGAAGGCGCCUGGGGAACCCACAUGACAAUGAGCCCUACCCACUGGGACAGCCGCGUGUGGCCCGUGGGCCUCGCUGUGAUGUGGAGCAGGACCCCUGCUCCCCUGGCCCACUUAUCUCAGUCUUGGCACUGCGUCUGUGCUGUCUCCGCAUGUGAGAACAAGGAACACUCAAGGAUGCACGGAGGGUAUUUCUCUCUGCCCUGAUAGCUCCUUGCUGAGAGAAAAUGGGGGAAAGCUGGGCCCAGCUACAGCCCCCACACCCUGGGCCUCUCUGCAGGGUUGGGCAGGGCGGCUUCCCAAGAAUGCGCUGCUGUGGAUACUGGGCAGGAUGGCUCUGAGGAAGCAGGCACGCGGUGGCACCUGCAGAGGCUGCUGCUCUUCACGGCCCUGAGCACAGAGCCUGUUGACUGGGAGCAGAGUGGAGUAGAUGACUCUCUUCCAGGCUGCAGACCUGAGCCUGGGGCCCCAGAGGAGUCACAGGGCCUAAGGUAAGAAUGUCCCGUGUCACCCCUCUUCCGCACAGGGCCUGCCGC
rnacentral:lncRNA from 1 species